ACACGUAGGGGCCUGACGUUGUUCGGAAUCAUUGGGCGUAAAGGGCGCGCAGGCGGCCGUCCAAGUCCGGUGUUAAAUGGUCGGGCUCAACCCGAUCAUGCGCUGGAAACUGGGCGGCUUGAGUCCCGUAGGGGAUGCCGGAAUUCCAGGUGUAGGGGUGAAAUCUGUAGAUAUCUGGAAGAACACCGAUGGCGAAGACAGGCAUCUGGCCGGAGACUGACGCUGAGGCGCGAAGGCGCGGGGAGCGAACAGGUUUAGAUACCCUGGUAGUCCGCGCAGUAAACGAUGCGCACCAGGUGUCGGGCGGCAGCGCCCGGUACCGGAGCUAACGCGAUGAGUGCGCCGCCUGGGGAGUAUGCCCGCAAGGGUGAAACUCAAAGGAAUUGACGGGG
rnacentral:rRNA from 1 species